rnacentral:rRNA from 1 species
AACGAACGCUGGCGGCAGGCCUAACACAUGCAAGUCGAGCGCACCCUUCGGGUUGAGCGGCGGACGGGCGAGUAACGCUUGUGAACGUGCCCUUCUCUGCUGAAUAUCCUCUGGAAACUGUGAGUAAUACCUCAUACGCCCUUUGGGGGUUAGAUUUAUCGUAUACGGAUCGUCCCGCUUUGGAUUAGUUUGUUGGUGUGGUAAUGGCCCACCAAGCCGCUGAUCCAUAGCAGGUUUGAGAAGAGUACCAGCAAAACUGGGACUGAGACACGGCCAAGACUCUUAAGGGAGGCAGCAGUGGGGAAUCGGAGAAAAUGGGAGCGACCCUGAUCUAGACAUGCCGCGUGAGAAAAGAAGGCAUUAGGGUGGUAAAGCUCUUUCAGAAGGGAAGAUAAGAACGGAACCAGAAGAAGAAGCCCCGGCAAAACCCGUG